rnacentral:sRNA from 1 species
UGGGCUGGGUAGUGGCCCACGUGCAGCUGC